rnacentral:rRNA from 1 species
UCCGAAGGGGGCUAUCGUUGUUCGGAAUAACUGGGCGUAAAGCGCAUGUAGGCGGAUCUUUAAGUCAGAGGUGAAAUCCCAGGGCUCAACCCCGGCAUUGCCUUUGAUACUGGAGAUCUGGAGUCUGGGAGAGGUGAGUGGAAUUCCGAGUGUAGAGGUGAAAUUCGUAGAUAUUCGGAGGAACACCAGUGGCGAGGGCGGCUCACUGGCCCGAGACUGACGCUGAGAUGCGAAAGCGUGGGGAGAUAACAGG